rnacentral:lncRNA from 1 species
GUCACGCCCCGCCCCGAGGCCGCUACCAAUUUGGCACGGUUCGGGCGCAGCGAACGGACCGCCGAACGGACAGCACCUCCCCUGUCCGCCCAAGGCACCAACAACAAGAUUGUGUACCACAAGUUCCCAGGAAUUAACUUGAAUACAUACACAAUCAUCUAACAACCACGAGAGCACAAUCAGUGCUUAUCAAUUGAGAGCAAGCAAUACAUGUAAGGCAUACAAGCGAUAAAAGAGAGAUGUACUUAUCUAUUGAUCCAUUUAACUUUAUACAAUUAUUACAACUUGCAUUCUUUCAAAACUAUACAAUGUAUACACCAUUCUCUCAACCUCACCCUAUACAUCAUCUACGCUCAAACAUAAAUACAGGGUAGGGCUAAUGCCAAAAGGAGGAGAGCUAACUAAAACAUGAACCUCUAGGGCGCUACGCCCUUGCCGCGAUCCUCUCCCGGGACGCUCGCGCUCGGACCUGCAAUGUGGUGGAGUGAGAACUACGAAUAGUUCCCAGUGGGUUCGGCCGCCGACUCCGCCGAUCUCCCCACUAGGUCUUAAGCAGGCACAGAUAGAUAUGCAGAUAGAUAGAUAUAGAAACUGGAAACAGUAACAGUAAUGAACAACUAUAAUCUAUCAAUGCCUCAAUCCAGCGUAAUGCAUGCAUGGAACUCCUAAUAAGAAGGCUGACUAACUCACUACCAUGUUCAACGACAAGGUCACUUAUCUGAUUACCCAAUCUCUCGGCGAACGCAAGGUUCGCUCACAGUCUCACGUCUCUAAGUCUCAUAGGAGAGGUGGCUAGCUAUUCACCUACCCCGAGACCGCCUGCGGACACUACACUGGUCCAAGGGCACUACACUGGCCCCCCUCGCGUGCCAAACUCCGGAGUGCACUACCUGUGAGGAGCUACCUCCACAGGUGCAGACAGGCUAAGUGAGCUCGAUCCAAUCUCAGGAACUGGGAACACCCUAUCCAACCAGGGGUGAUAGCAACAUAGUAUCUCAACUAUACUAGGGUUCUCAUGCCACUCUUGCACUACUUAAUGCCACUCGUUCAAUGUUUAAGGUUAACUAAAUGCCAC